rnacentral:rRNA from 1 species
UACGAAGGGGGCUAGCGUUGCUCGGAAUCACUGGGCGUAAAGCGCACGUAGGCGGACUCUUAAGUCGGUGGUGAAAUCCUGGAGCUCAACUCCAGAACUGCCUCGAUACUGGGAGUCUUGAGUCCGGGAGAGGUGAGUGGAACUGCGAGUGUAGAGGUGAAAUUCGUAGAUAUUCGCAAGAACACCAGUGGCGAAGGCGGCUCACUGGCCCGGUACUGACGCUGAGGUGCGAAAGCGUGGGGAGCAAACAGGG